UCCAGAGCAAAUCGAACCGAAUAGUUUUAGAAUAGUUUGUGAAUUGAACAGUUGUUAUCACAAUUAAUGUAAAACAGUGUUCACAUUCUAGUAUUUUUAAAAGAUGUCCUAAUUUCUCCGUCAUUACAUAGCACAUUAUGAAGUGUUGUUUAAUAAAAGCACAAAUGGCGCAUUAGGAGCGAACAAGUAGUUUCUUCGCG
rnacentral:lncRNA from 1 species